UACGUAGGGCGCAAGCGUUGUCCGGAAUUAUUGGGCGUAAAGAGCUCGUAGGCGGCUUGUCACGUCGAUUGUGAAAGCCCGAGGCUCAACCUCGGAACUGCCUUCGAUACUGCGGGUCUCGAGUCCGGGAGAGGUGAGUGGAAUUCCUAGUGUAGAGGUGAAAUUCGUAGAUAUUAGGAAGAACACCAGUGGCGAAGGCGGCUCACUGGCCCGGUACUGACGCUGAGGCGCGAAAGCGUGGGGAGCAAACAGG
rnacentral:rRNA from 1 species